rnacentral:rRNA from 1 species
UGGGGAAUAUUGGACAAUGGGCGCAAGCCUGAUCCAGCCAUGCCGCGUGAGUGAUGAAGGCCCUAGGGUUGUAAAGCUCUUUCACCGGUGAAGAUAAUGACGGUAACCGGAGAAGAAGCCCCGGCUAACUUCGUGCCAGCAGCCGCGGUAAUACGAAGGGGGCUAGCGUUGUUCGGAUUUACUGGGCGUAAAGCGCACGUAGGCGGACUUUUAAGUCAGGGGUGAAAUCCCGGGGCUCAACCCCGGAACUGGCUUUGAUACUGGAAGUCUUGAGUAUGGUAGAGGUGAGUGGAAUUCCGAGUGUAGAGGUGAAAUUCGUAGAUAUUCGGAGGAACACCAGUGGCGAAGGCGGCUCACUGGACCAUUACUGACGCUGAGGUGCGAAAGCGUGGGGAGCAAACAGG